GAAAAAAAGGAAAAUCAUUAGAAGAAUUUGAAUUAUAUAGGAGCAUUAGCGAUAGAAAUUGAAUCGAAGAGAGGAGGGAUGGAGAGGGAGAAUCAGAUACCAUGUAAGCAAAGCUAACUAGCUAAAAAGAUGAGAAAGAAAGCCACUGCAGCUCAAGCAUCUCCUUUUCAACCUCGGCAAAAACCACAAACAGUUCCCUUCUCUCUCAAACUCUGUCUGUGACUCGAGAAACCAAACAUUACAAAGAAGAAGAGAAGAUAUAAAGCGAAAAUGGCGAACAGUAGUGGUGAAGUACAAGAGGGGCAGACAGUGGUGGUUCAAGAAGAAGAAGCGCACCCAUAUGCAUUUCAUGUUUCCGGGCCUCGAAAUGUGGCCUCUCCUAAUUGGAGAGACCUUAUCAAUUCUAGCUGGAAGAAUGAGAACCACAAGCGAACAGUAUUCUCCUGCUUCAUUCAAGCAGUUUACUUGCUUGAAACUGACAGACAAGAGAACAGAACUGAGGAAAAUGCACUUGCUCCAAAUUGGUGGCGAAGCUUCAAAUACAAAUUGACCCAAACCUUAGUUGAUGAAAGAGAUGGAUCUAUAUUUGGUGCAGUACUAGAAUGGGAUCGAGCUGCAGCAUUAGCUGACAUGGUUCUUAUUAGACCUAGUGGAGCACCAAAGGCUGUUUUAGCACUUCGAGGAACAUUACUCAAAGGCCCCACAAUCCUGAGGGAUAUUGAAGAUGACCUCCGUUUUCUAGCCUGGGAAAGUUUGAAAGGUUCUGUCAGAUUCAAAGUAGCACUGGAGGCAUUAAGAUCAGUUGCUGAAAUGUAUGGAAGCAGGAACGUAUGUGUAGCUGGUCAUUCCUUGGGGGCUGGUUUUGCUCUCCAGGUGGGAAAAGCAUUAGCUAAAGAAGGUAUGUAUGUGGAGGCCCAUUUAUUUAACCCGCCUUCUGUUUCUAUGGCAAUGAGCUUAAGAAACAUAGGAGAAAGGGCUGGGUUUGCUUGGAAUAGAUUUAAGUCAAUGCUUCCUUCUAGUAGUGAAACUCAGGCCACCAGUGACGGGGGGGAGACGGCUAAUACUGUAGGAUUGAGGAGCUGGAUACCUCUUUCAGGUUAUAAAACUUCUAUGGGAUUAAAAAAUUGGGUGCCUAAUUUGUAUGUGAACAAUAGUGACUAUAUCUGUUGCUCCUACACCGACCCAGAUGGAACUGAAAAUAAACAAGCUGACAAGGAGAAUGCAGGUCCUGGAAAUGGGCAAGUUGCAGCGAAACUGUUUGUGAUGUCCAAAGGAAAACAGAAGUUUCUUGAGGCUCAUGGAUUGGAGCAAUGGUGGUCUGAUGAUGUGCAGCUUCAACAGGCUCUGCAUAACAGCAAGCUCAUGAGCAGGCAGCUGAAAUCGCUGUAUACUUUCCCAGCUUCACAACCAACACAGCGAACCCCACAAUGACAUAAGGAGAGACCGUUAGGGUGAAUCAACGAGCUGGUGGAGCCGUUCAUAAUUAGAUUGCAGGUACCUUAUAGACUCACUAGGAGUGAUCAAUAUUUAUUAUUUUUGUAUAUAUAUAGGCAAAUAUGGCCUAUUAUGUUGUAAUAUCAAGUUUGUGGAUUGUAAUUUGAGACACUUUAUAUUGUUAUGUAACUAAGAUGUUAUCAGAUUAAAUUAGCAAUUAUCAAUGACUAGUUAUGGUGAUGUAAA